CACGCUGACACGGUCACCAGGUGUAUGGUGUUUCCUCGUGACACAUUGGUGCGGCUGGCUUCCGAAGCAGUGCGGCUUGGCACGGCUCUCGACCUUCGCCUCUCCCGAUGUGACAAGACUGUAACUACCAAUUGGACACCACGAAAUUGGGGAGAAAAAGGGUAUUGCAGGAACUACAGGAAAUGCUUGAGAGACACAGAGCCCAGAACGAGACCUGGCUAUGUGCUCAGGCAGAGGAGAAUGACAAGGAGAGAAAGGAGCUGUGAGGAAGGAGAAACUGAAAGAAGAGCAGGGAAACAUACAGAAAUGCAGUGAUCAGCUCCUAUCCAUCAUGCAACAGUUCAAAGGCAUGUAAAGACAUGUGUUUCCAUGGCACCCACCUGGAGGAAGCAGAUUGCCCAUGUUUGUGGGUGUGGUUUACUUUCCCAAGGAUGAAAAACCAAAGGGGUCAACUCAAAAGUCUCUGUGAAAAGGAAAUGUGACAUUCAUUUGUCUUUUUCCACUGGUGUGUUUAAAUAGUUAGCAUUUUGCCCGUAGCUGAGAUGGGGGACAAAGGGAUUAUUUUGACCUUGUCAAAAGAACAAAUCACUCAUGGCAUAAUGUUGAAAUCUUUGGAAUUCCUAUUUGGGCAUUUCAAAGUAGGUCUGUAUCAUAAUUUCCCCAGUGGCUACCCCUCCUUCAGGACAGGUGGAGCAGCAGCCAGGGGAAAAUACAGAGCAUAGGCGUUGGUAAUGUCCUCUAGUUGCGCCCUGAUUGGAUCAGUGUUCUGUCACUCAUGGGGACACUACGUCGCUGCAGAAUCUACAGGGAGAGCUAGGCAGUUCAAGUCGCCUUGGGUGCUGCCAUAGAUUUACAUGAGAAGUGCCCAUCCAUAAAGGCUCAAGGUCAUUGGCCGCAGAUAAAAUGACGUCAAAUCACAUUAUAUCUACCAUAGCUUUGAUUGUACUGAUAAUGUCAACAUCACACUUUCAAAAUCUCAGCUAGCA
ensembl:lncRNA